rnacentral:lncRNA from 1 species
AGAAGCCUAGUGGUGGAAGCCAUGGAGGGAAGGAUGAGUCAGAAGGCGGUGGCAUUGGAGACUACAUUAAACUUGCACAAGGUUUCAUGAAGAAGCAGGAUGACGAGGGUGGGCACAAGAAGACUAGUGGACAUGGAGGAGGAGGGUAUGGAAAGGAGGAAAAUGAAGAGGACAGCGGCAAGAAGAAACAUGGUGGUCGCCCUGAGAGUGGAAAAGACGAGUCGGAGGGCAGUGGCAUGGCAGAUUACCUGAAACUUGCACAGGGUUUCAUGAAGAAGGAUGGUGAAGGGGGAAGUGGAGCUGGUAUGGGGGACUACUUAAAGCUUGCAGAGGGGUUCAUGAAGAAGCGUUGAUUUAUAACUGAUCUUCGCUACCAUUGCGAUUGAUGAAGGACUUUGUGUUUGGUUAGUCCCUUGUCUUGUUUAACAUCUGUAUGUUGUGGGAUUUCCUAUGAUUUCCGCCGACAAAGCUGUCUUUGCGCUGUGUGCAAUGUACUGAAUGCCCAAGGUGCUACUUUCGAUUUCAGGAGAAUAAAAGAUUGGAUGAAUAAACGUGUGUUAUUCACGCUUUGUAAAUAGUUUUGACUUGAAAUAAUUAUUGUAGUGUUAUCAUAAUAGAAGUGUUGAAUAGA